rnacentral:rRNA from 1 species
UCGUGGAGUGAUUUGUCUGCUUAAUUGCGAUAACGAACGAGACCUUAACCUGCUAAAUAGCCAGGCUAGCUUCGGCUGGUCGCCGGCUUCUUAGAGGGACUAUCGGCUCAAGCCGAUGGAAGUUUGAGGCAAUAACA